rnacentral:lncRNA from 1 species
UGGAAUUAGAUUGCAUAAAAUAAAUUUAUGCAUUGCAUAAAAGGACAAGUGCUUACAAGAGUAAGAACGAAAAAAAUAUAAAAAAAACAGGGAACAAGUAACUCGGUUGAACACCUAAACAAAAGAAAAAUUAAAAUAACAUUUUUUUUUCUUCUUCUCGGAAAAUAGGGCCUCCCCUGUUCUUUGGCUCAACACCCACCGAGCUCCUCUCCCCUUAUUUCUUUGGCCAAACCGAGCUCCUCCUUUUGGACCCGCCGGCCACCACCACUGCCGAGAGCUCCCUUCUUCCUCCCUUUGAACCAGUCGAACACCUCCCCUGUUUCUUGGCCCCA